rnacentral:rRNA from 1 species
AGUGAACGCUGGCGGUAUGCCUAACACAUGCAAGUCGAACGGCAGCACAGUAAGAUUUUGCUCUUACGGUUGGCGACUGGCGGACGGGUAAGGAAUGCAUCGGCAUCUACUUUUUCUGGGGGGAUAUCGUAGGGAAACUUACGCUAAUACCUCAUACGACCUACGGGUGAGAUCAGUAGAUCUUCGGAGUUUUCGUGCUUCAUUUAGCUGAUGUCGGAUUAGCUAGUUGGCUGGGUAAAGGCCCACCAAGGCGACGAUCCGUAGCUGGUCUGAGAGGAUGAUCAGCCACACUGGAACUGAGACACGGUCCAGACUCCUACGGGAGGCAGCAGUGGGGAAUAUUGGACAAUGGGCGCAAGCCUGAUCCAGCCAUACCGCGUGGGUGAAGAAGGCCUUCGGGUUGUAAAGCCCUUUUGUUGGGAAAGAAAAGCAGCAGGUUAAUACCCCGCUGUUCUGACGGUACCCAAAGAAUAAGCACCGGCUAACUUCGUG